GGCCAGAUAAUUUAACAAAAGAUAUUUCGCUGUAAACGAAAAAAUAAGAUAAUCAACUUUCCGGCCA
rnacentral:tRNA from 1 species